rnacentral:rRNA from 2 species
GACAAACAGGUCAAAUUAAAAUUAAUGAUAGUAAAAAAGGAGGUUAUAAAUUUGUUUCGAGAAAUAAUGCUCUUUAGAGAGGUGAAAUUUAGAUAAAGAGAGGUAAAUUAGGUUUUUCUUUUUUUGACGCCUCGAAAUUUUGUUAUGAGACCGGGAUUAGAUACCCCGUUAUUCAAAAUGUAAACUUUGAUUGUAUUUAUGAUUUACUUGAGUAUUACGAGUAUAAAAGAUUUGUCUUAUAUAUUUCUUAAAACUCAAAAAACUUGGCGGUGCCUAUAUCCUUCCAGGGGAACCUGUCCUAUAAUCGAUAGUCCUCGAUUUAACUUUCUUUCUUUUGAAUUUUAUUAUCAGCUUGUAUACCGUCGUCGUCAGGUUACCUUUAAGAGUUAUGAAGUUAUCAGUGAGAACUAGGAGAAAUUUAAGUUUAUACACUGUAAGUUAUAGAUUGAUUUAUGUGAGUUCUAGACGUCAGAUCAAGGUGCAGCUUAUAGGGAAGUAGAGAUGGGUUACAAUAAUGAAUUAUUAUACGAAUUUUUGUUGUAAGUAGCAAAAUUGAAGGAGGACUUGGAAGUAAUUGGUUUAAAGAUAAGAGAGCUUAAAUGAAAAUAGGCUCUGAGGUGCGC